rnacentral:tRNA from 1 species
UCCCUGGUAGCUCAGUUUGGUAGAGCAGGUGACUGUUAAUCACCUUGUCGCUGGUUCGAGUCCAGCCCAGGGAGCCA